CCACCUCUCCAUCGUCCCUCUCGGCAACAACGCGACUAGGAUGGACAUCUUCCAACCAUGGCUUGUGCGACGGGGAACAUGAUGUUCAUGUCUUGAUUGUUCCUUCUUCCCUGUUGUUUUCCGUGUGAUGCCUUGUUUGUCUCAGCGGCGCAUCCCCUCAUCCUGCGGAACACUGUAUACCCGUUACAACACGCCGCCGCCUCCCUAGCCAGUCCCGCUUCCCCCUUCCCCCUUCCUAUUGAGCCCCUGUGGUGGUGGUGGUGGAUGAAAACAUCUCACCUGGAGGUUGGAGAGGGAUGAAUUGGAGAGGGAGGUGGGAAGACGGGGAGGAGGAUGUAGCCAACGACGGCAAUGCCGUUGCCCACCCCGCCGCCCAGAGUCAUCACGGCAGCACCCUGCCCUCCCUCCCUCCAAGCGUCACUGCUACCAUGGUGUGCUCUCCCUCUCACCGGUGCUUCUACAGCGAGACCCUAGUCGAACGACGGUUGGCAUCGUUUAUUGCAUGGCCUUGCAGAUCUACCACACUGUGCUCACCCUCAUAGUCAUUCGUCAUACCACCUCACGGAAUCGUGAGUUUGGCCGCCACAAGCACGCUCGUGCCACCGCAAGGUCCGUAAUAAGAUUGCUACCAGGGAGUAGAAGGGAAGAUAGGCAGAUCAUGAGGGUCUCCCACUCCUUCAUCCCCAGUGGCAGAUUAGCAGUGGAAUCGGUGUACACAUGAGAACCAAGGCAUCUCUGACUAUAAAAGUUGAUGAGUUGUAGCUGAAAAUUCCGAAUUCCUUCUCAUUUAGAAUCUUCAGCUUACGCUCUUCUAAUUUGCAACAAUUUUCCUCAUCUAAUGACACUCGAUUUUUCUUGCAUGACUAUUGACUAGGCUGAUAACAUGUUCAUGAUGAAAAGACUUAAGAGCGCAGCGGCACUCCAAGCUUCAGAAGUUUUUUUCCUUUCCUUCCAGUUGUUCCAAUGGGAUGUACUUAGAAGGAUCGAGAGUACAGUGUCACAUGCUGGAAGCAAGUCAUUUGGAAAAUAUAGCACCUCAAGGAGCCAGAAUAAAAUAAAUCGGAGAAUUGGAUGAGCCAAAGACAAGCAUAUUCAGAAAUAGAGAGUUUACCGGGAUUCUGGGAGAAAAUCUACAUGGCAUCAUGAGGAAAGAGGAGUUGAAGUACGGUAUGGGAUACUAAAUAGUGUAAAUUGUACUUCUAUUUUCUUCUUCAAUUGGAUCUUUCUCUAUGGACCAAUUUAUAUCGUAUACUGAAAUCAUGUUAUAUUAAGAAGUAUCAUGAUAGAGUUAGCUUGUCCAAUGAAUCGAUAUGUUUAACAAUGGGAAUUUGGAGGAUUAAUUAGUUGAAUUAAUGUUCUUCUUUUAACCUAUUAGAGAUCAAAUGGAUGAAACA